rfam:Sinomonas sp. R1AF57 chromosome.
AACACGAACCAUUCACUACGGAUCGUCCGGCACGUACCUGCCGGUGAAGGGACUGAUGA